rnacentral:rRNA from 1 species
UACGAGGGGGGCGAGCGUUGUUCGGAAUUAUUGGGCGUAAAGGGUGCGUAGGCGGUUCCGCAAGUCCUGCGUGAAAUCUUCGGGCUCAACUCGAAGUCUGCACGGGAAACUGCGGGGCUUGAGUGUGGGAGAGGUGAGUGGAAUUCCCGGUGUAGCGGUGAAAUGCGUAGGUAUCAAGUGGAACACCAGUGGCGAAGGCGAGUCUCUGGACAUUUCCUGACGCUGAGGCACGAAAGCCAGGGGAGCAAACGGG